ensembl:lncRNA
AUAAAUCCUUCUUGACUCAUCUUCUCUGACAACAGGGAUGGAAGAGUAGCUGGUGGACCGCGGCAUUCUCUGGAUUCAUGGUUUGCUCUUUGGAGCCAGAUGGCACGCAAUACGUCUGAAGCUAAAUCCAGUCUUGUGACAGUGGUCAUCGCCAGCGAGGAACCACUUGGUCUGUGACGCCAAACUAUUCGGUUCUUUGUGAGUCUUUUCCAUCAAGCAAGCUCUUGGGUACUUCUCUGAGUGUAAAGAAACAUACAUGCCCCUUGAUGACUGUGGGACUCUUGUUUUGCGAGGAGAUAGACAAGACACUUGAGGCUACUUCACAUUUUGGUGAGUUAAGUGAAACCAGCAGCUGAAUUUGCUGGCAGAUACUAACGCAUGUGUCCCAUCGCUGCUCCUUCCAAACAUGGAAUGAAUCUGAAAUUUUCUACCACUGGAAAGAAAUGUAAUAUUUAAAGGAUGUUAUUUCCUCAGCAAAUGGGAAGUUGCCCUCUAUAAAAAUGCUCAGUUCUAAAGGGAAAAUAUAAAAACACAUAAGAAGGCUGAGUGCCGAAGAACUGAUGCUUUUGAACUGUGGUGUUGGAUAAAACUCUUGAGAGUGCCUUGGACAGCAAGGAGACCAAACCAGUCCAUCUUAAAGGAAAUCAACCCCAAACAUUCACUGGAAGGACUGAUGCUGAAGCUCCAAUACUUUGGCCAUCUGAUGUGAAAAGCCAACUCAUUGGAAAAGACCCUGACUCUGGAAACACUGAGGGCAGGAAGAGAAGGGGUGACAGAAAAUGAGACGGUUGGAUGGCAUCACUGACUUAAUGGACAUAGUUUGAGCAAACUCUGGGAGAUAGUAAAGGACAGGGAAGCCUGACGUGCUGCAGUCCAUGGGGUCGCAAAGAUUAGGACAUGACUUAGCAACUGAGCUACUGUAAAACAACAAGAUAUGACACAACAAAGAAUGUAAAGAAAAAAAUUAAGGCUCUCAAAUAAAGAUAAAAUCAAGCAAUAAUAUGGGUAGUGGAAUACAAUAUUUUUAGUUUAAAAUCUUUAAUGUUAAUACCACAAUAGAAUGCCAGAUAACUUUUUAAAUUGAAGUAAAAUUGAUUUAUAAUAUUAUAUUAGUUUCAAGUACACAGCAUAGCAAUUCAAUAUUUUUAUAGAUUAUAUUCCAUUAAAAGUUAUUGCAAGAUAAGGUCUGUAAUUCCCUGAGCUAGACAACAUAUUUUUGUUGCAUAUCUACUUUAUGCAUAUCUAUUUUAUUUAAGUAGUUUGCAUCUCUUAAUCUCAUACCCCAUCUUCCAUCUCCCCCUUCUUUUUUCUCGCUAUAACCUCUAGGUUUCCCUCCCCCCCUAUACCUGAGAGUCUGUUUAUAUCUUUAU